GUACUCAUUAUGGCAACACAUAUAUGAAAGUGGAAAUGAUAUAGAAAAGAUUCACAUGGCCCCUGUACAAUGGAUGACAUAUAAGCUCACAAGGCAUUCCAUACCUUA